ensembl:lncRNA
GUAAGAUAAAUUCAUUUCUGUAGAUGGGAAAAGGGUGUGUGAAUUGUUUUCUUUGUGCUGUGUUGCUUCAUGGGUAGCCAUUACAUAUCAGCUGCAUGAAGUCUUCAAAUUGCUAUGGAUUCAGUGCCUUUCUUUGAAAGGUGAAAACUACUCAUCUGGAUCACAAGACGACUUGGGUUUUUGGAACUGGGAUAAUCUUGUGCAGCUGAAGAUGUUUGUGAGGCAAUUUGCUUCAAAAGAUCUGGCUAGAAGUAUGGUCACUGUGUGUCAGGAGCAAAAUAGGGUCACAGCUGGAACCACUGAUGGAGCACCUGGUGAAGGGGCGUAGCCAGCUCUGGGACACAGGUGGAAGCAAUCCCUCCUAAUCUCAUACAAUGGCUGGCAGCUGCAAAGGAAAAAAUCUCUACUUCGAGAUCGUCUCAUUUGGAGUGUUUGGUGGAUCUUGAUCCUUGGAAUGGGUUUAAAAUGAGAAGUGAGAAGAGUGCUUAGGAGGCUGACGCUUUAAGACGCCAAGGAGAGGACUUAAUGUGUGCCUGAUCUUAAAAGGGAGCAAGGAAUGUUUCAUUCUAAGUUUACAUGAGAGAUGAAAAACCCAGCACACUUAAUGAACUGCCACUUCUGGUGACUUUAUAUGUUGCCAUUGUCUUU